AUGAAGGGUGCAACAUCGGGUGCAUAGGCAGCGAGCACCGCAGAUGCAGUGGCAGGGCCAACACCCUUGAGCACGGUGAGCUCGGUGAUGGCCUUGCUGAGGUCAGGCAGCGCUGCAAAUGCCUUGCGUGACGCUGACUCUACAACUUUGUCAUCCAAGCUUUUGACGAAAUCCAUCAGCCUCGGCCUAGCAACAAGUGCAGAGUGA
rnacentral:rRNA from 1 species